rnacentral:rRNA from 1 species
UACGGAGGGGACUAGCGUUGUUCGGAAUUACUGGGCGUAAAGCGCACGUAGGCGGAUUUGUAAGUCAGGGGUGAAAUCCCGAGGCUCAACCUCGGAACUGCACUUGAUACUGCAAAUCUCGAGUCCGGAAGAGGUGAGUGGAAUUCCUAGUGUAGAGGUGAAAUUCGUAGAUAUUAGGAAGAACACCAGUGGCGAAGGCGGCUCACUGGUCCGGUACUGACGCUGAGGUGCGAAAGCGUGGGGAGCAAACAGG